rnacentral:rRNA from 1 species
UACGGAGGGUGCAAACGUUGCUCGGAAUCAUUGGGCGUAAAGCGCACGUAGGCGGUCUGCCAAGUCGGAUGUGAAAUCCCUGGGCUCAACCCAGGAAGUGCAUUCGAAACUGGCGGACUUGAAUAUGGAAGAGGGUCGCGGAAUUCCCGGUGUAGAGGUGAAAUUCGUAGAUAUCGGGAGGAACACCAGUGGCGAAGGCGGCGACCUGGGCCAAUAUUGACGCUGAGGUGCGAAAGCGUGGGGAGCAAACAGG